UGAGGAAUAUUGGUCAAUGGGCGGGAGCCUGAACCAGCCAAGCCGCGUGAGGGAGGAAGGCCCUAUGGGUCGUAAACCUCUUUUGUCGGGGAACAAAAGCGAGUAUGUAUACUAGUCUGAGUGUACCUGAAGAAAAGCAUCGGCUAACUCCGUGCCAGCAGCCGCGGUAAUACGGAGGAUGCGAGCGUUAUCCGGAUUUAUUGGGUUUAAAGGGUGCGUAGGCGGCGGUGCAAGUCAGCGGUAAAAGCCCGGGGCUCAACCCCGGCGAGCCGUUGAAACUGCAGUGCUAGAGAAGGCGAGAGGUACGCGGAAUGCGCAGUGUAGCGGUGAAAUGCUUAGAUAUUGCGCAGAACUCCGAUUGCGAAGGCAGCGUACUGGCGCCUGACUGACGCUGAGGCACGAAAGCGUGGGGAUCGAACAGGAUUAGAUACC
rnacentral:rRNA from 1 species